UACGGAGGAUGCGAGCGUUAUCCGGAUUUAUUGGGUUUAAAGGGUGCGUAGGCGGGUUAUCAAGUCAGCGGUAAAAUCGUGGAGCUCAACUCCAUCCAGCCGUUGAAACUGAUGAUCUUGAGUGGGCGAGAAGUAUGCGGAAUGCGUGGUGUAGCGGUGAAAUGCAUAGAUAUCACGCAGAACUCCGAUUGUGAAGGCAGCAUACCGGCGCCCGACUGACGCUGAAGCACGAAAGCGUGGGUAUCGAACAGG
rnacentral:rRNA from 1 species